GGAACUCUAGUAACCUGAGGUGUAACACUGACUUUUGGACAUUCAGGACAUCGUGAGGAGUGAAUGGCCUAGAGAGUUGCUUUCCUUUAUUGCAAAUACACAGAACUGAUUUCAAUUUACAUAGAGUGAUUGAGAGAGUGACCAGCCUGGGCCAUCUAGUCCGUUCUACCUGUGAAGGAAUGAAAUGACAGGGACAGUGAAAGAAGAGGUCACAUGUUUGCAGAGAAGGCAGGGAAUGCAAACUCUCGCCAUCCAGGGCUGAAUUUAAGUAUGCAUUUCCAUACUGAUGCACUAUCAGAAGUGGUGUGGUGAAAGUGAAAUUGAAGCCAGCGCUCUACUUCAAAUAUAAUGGAAAGUUAAUAGAUGUUGAGGGGAUGAAGGUGCUACUCUAGAAACCUACAAAUCUAUAAAUCAUUACAAACAUUGUUUCUCUGGGUAAAAGUGCUCUCUCUUCCAAACAAAUAAAUGACUUGGAAAGUAACAUUUUUAGGUAGAACAGCAUCCUAAAUUGGUGAAAGUCUGUCUUAAAAUGUUCUCCCAAGGAAUGGGAUAUUAAGUUGUUCCUCUCCUAUACAAUGGAAUGCCUAAUUAUUUCUCUUCCAAAUAGUUUCAUGCUCAAUUGUUCCUCUCUCAAGCAAUGGCACAUUCAAUCAGUCCUCUCCCAAACAAUGGAGACCACUCAGUUGUUCCUCUUCCAACAGUUGAAUACUCAAUUGUUCCUCUCCCAAGCAACGAACGAUUCAAUUACUCAGGUGAAUGCAGUUGAAAAGAUUUCAUUUCUAGCAGUGUAAAGCAAAGCUGUGCUCACAGCACUGUUUGGGGCCCAGCUCACUUCUGUUGGAAUCAGGCAAGUUCAUGGUUAUUAUCAUGAUCCUUUGGGAUCAUUUUGAAACUCUCUGAAUAGGAGAAUAUCAGUAACUUAUUGGAGCUUCACAUUCUCCUGCCAACCAAGCAAAGUGACAAGAAUGGUCUCCAUUUAACGUCUGAGCUUGUGGAUACCAUUACGGAUAUGUCACAGCUGAGGGGAAGCUGAACAGAAUACUUUAAUAUCAGAUCUGGAUUCAUUGAGCUCCUGCUACAAAGCUGAGUACCAUCCCUGCUCUCAGGAGGCUCACAUUCUAGUUGUCUAGGGAGAUACAACACGAGAGAAUCAUUUGAGUGGUUGCCAACUGCCCGGGCGACUCAGAGGAUGCAGAGCUCCACUCUGCCUGGAGAGUUGGGAAAGGCCGCCCAAAGACGACAGUCCACUUUGGGCCUUGAAAAAUGGCAAGUAUUUUGACAAAUGCAGAAGACUAGGAAGAAUACAUCUGGGCAGAGAGAAAAGCACAAGCAUGGCGUGAACAUUCCCAGCUUAGGAUGGUGGAGAGCUGUAGCUGGUAUUGGUUUCGGAUGCAGGCAGCAGUGAGAAGUAGCAGGAAGCGAGAUCUUAGGUCCAGGACCGGGAGUCCUAACCACUGGACCACAGGGGCCAGCAGCUAGGGCCUGGGUCCCUGGUUCUCACCUGCCUUGUCAGGAAAAAAAUUCAGGCAAGGAGGCAGAAGGUAAAGACAAAAGUAAAAAGUUUAUUGGAAGAGAAAAGUACAUGCGGAAAGACGCAUGGGCGAACUCUGAGAGUCGCACCUUUGGGAAGUUUACAUCUUUUAUGAGGGGGCAGUCUUCCGGGUCUUUGUCUUCUUUUUGGCCAAUCGUAUUGUUUGGACCCCAUGGCUAAUUUGCCUCUGGAACCUCCCCUGGGCGUGUACGCACCCUUUAGUUAAGAUGGAUCGCACUGCAAAGGCCUCGGGGAGGAGGUAGCAGGACUUACUAUGGUCUGGCAUCUCCUGCCUUGUUGACCCCGUGAAGGCUUUUGCACAUGCAUAGUGUCUCCCUUGUCCCAAGGAUGGGAAAUGUGUAACCUCUUGAUCCUUUAAUAGGGUUUAGUCCCGCUCUGCCCCUGCCGUAAAAAUGCCCAAUGUCUGGUUAUUUACCCUAUUCCUGUUGCCGGUUUUAUGUUGAGGUGCAGAUCUCUAAAUAUAGACAGGAGUCCGGUCAUCAAUAUGUAGUCCUGGAGCCCGUUUGUCUCUUGCUUCAGGAAGUGUAAACAGGGGGCUGGUAAUGAAUGUCCGGCCUGGAGCUCAUCUUCUUCUCACCCCAGGAGGUGUGAACAGGAGGUCAGUUGUAAAUGUCUAGCCUGGAGCCCAUCUACCUCCCGCCUCAGCAUGUUUUAGAUACAGGAUACCUGGAGCAAGGUGAUGAGACUUGAGGCCGAAUUUUGAAGGACGUGAAGUGACAUUCUCUGGAGUUUUGCUUUUCUUCUGAAACCCUCCAGUUAUACAGAAGGCAAGAGAAGACGUGAUUGACAGCAGAGAGCCCAGAGAUUAGCACAGUCUCGGAGAUGUCCAUCUAAGCCCUGAUUACACAGGACAUGGGGUGAGGUCCCUGAUGUCCAUGAAACUGACGAAAAAGUGGAACAUACACAAAAGUGCCAAGUUUGCCCGUGUCUGACAGGAGCCACAUUUCUUGCCUGACUCCUGUUUCCUAUCUGUAGUCUCCAGAUCUUUGUGGUUUCUCAAAAUUCUUCUGAAGGCAGGAUGUGAAACAAAUGCUCCAAGGAAUGUCCCUACUACAGAGACCCUUCAUCUGUCUUGGACACACAGAUGAAGUGUUUGGGGGAUAUAAACAGUGCACGGAGAUGGAGAUGGCACGCUGGUCAUCUCUCCUCCUGGAGGUAGAAAGUCACCUCCAGCUACCGAGGAAGGGUCAACAGGAUACCGGACACAGAUGCAAUAAUGGAUCCACAAGGAAAUUAAGUAACUUAUCCCAGGCCACAGAGUGAAGAAGAGGAGGAGCAGAGACUGGAUGGAACCUGAGGAGUUUGGCCCCAUGGUACUUGCUGCCCUCCUGCCUUCGCUUACACUUAGUCACUUCAGCUUGAGCUGCAGCUUCAUAAUGGAAUCAUUAUAAUGGAUCAAUGUUUACAGCACUUUAGAAUUUAUAAAACUUUUUAAAAUCAUGUUCAUCUGAUCAUGUCCUCUUAACAUUUGUUUUAUUGCCUCGAUUCUGGAACUAAGAAGACUGAAGAUUGAAAAAGUUAAGUGACUGCACAGAUUCACAAACUUGUUAGUAGCAGAGACGUUCCUUAGAUGGGGGCCCCAUACUCAGAGUUCCGGCAUUUUUUUCGGCAGCAUGGCAGCUAACUCUGUGAAAAGAGAAAUAAUCAUCUCCCCACGGCCUGCUUCAGACCUGAGAAUGUGAGAAAGUGCUUUGGAAGGUGUAAAAUGUCCUACAAACGUGUGUCCUCCUGGCUUUAAGUUUAAAAGCACUUUCCAACGCACUCCUUAAUGAGCUGGCCGUGGUACUGAAGAUGGGAAACGACGCAGGCAGCUGGUCCUCUUUCCCUUGGGCGUUUCAGUUGCUUGAGUCUCUGACACCCCGCAGGUCCCCAUGGUGAGGUGGACAUGACAUGUUAAUUCUGCAGCAGUUUGGCCUGGAGCAAGCCUGGCAGCCAUGUAAUGAGAGGGACCCUUGUCGCUGCUGGCAGAAAGGGGGAAAGUUAGAUAUGACAAGCGGAUUCUCAGAGACAAAUUGUGUUAUGAAGAAAGCAAAGUGAUAUCUCUUGGUUUCCCUGGAAAAUUGUUCUAUCCACCUGGAAUGACUUGGUAGCAGGAGGAGGGACUGAGCAGGAGGGCAUCAGGCAGGCUGAAGCGAGCCACUAGAAAUCCUACAACUGCAAUGAACUGAACGCUACCAACAACCUGAAUGAUCUUGGAAGAGGACCUCUAGCCUCCGAUGAGAACCCAGCUUUGGCUAACACCGUGAAUGUAGCCUUGUGACCCCUGAGCAGGGAACCAUAAGCCAUGCUGGAACUUCUGAUGCACAGAGACUAUGAGAUAAUAAAUGUGCAAUGUCACUAAAAAAAGUGUAAUGUCUGCAGUGGCAGAAACCAACAGUGAUAGAAUAUGAAUAGAGUGGUCCCUUUUCCUUCUGGCCUUGAGCACCAGGGCCUGGAUGUUUUUAUUUUCUUCAAUCAUCAAAAAGGUCUCUUGGGAAAGGACAGUAAAUCCGUUCAUACUAACGUGAACUUGACUAGCUACCCUCCCAACAGAGGCACUCAUACACAGGGAGCCUUAAAAGCUGUGUCUCCUUGUAAAAAAAGUCUGCUGCAUAUUAACCCCUAAUCAAAUAUAUUAGGAACUCAUACAACUCAGUAGCAAAAAAAUCAAAAAAUCUGAUUUAAAAAUGGGUAAGAAACUUGAAUAGACAUUUUUCCAGAGAAGACAUACAGAUGGCCAACAGGUACAUGAAAAGAUGCUUAAUAUCACUAAUCAUUCAGAAAAUGCAAAUCAAAACCACAAUGAGAUAUCACCUCAUACCUGUUAGGAUGGCUAUUAUCAAAAAGACAUAAAAUAACAAAUCCUGAUAAAGAUAGAGAAAAGGAACCCUUGUGCACUGUUGAUGGGAAUGUAAAUUGGUACAGCCAGCAUGAAAAACAUCAUGGAUAUUCCUCCAAAAAUUAAAAGUAGAACCACCAUAUGAUCCAGCAGUCUCACUUUGGGUAUGAAUCCAAAAUGAAAUCACUAUCUUGCAGAGAUAUCUGCCUUCCCAUGUUCACUUCAGCAUUGUUUAUAAUAACCAAGACAUGGAAACAACCUAAGUUUCCACUGAUGGAUAAAAAAGUUGUGAUAUACAUAUAUAUAUAUAUAUAUAUAUA